rnacentral:rRNA from 1 species
CCUACGGGGGGCAGCAGUGGGGAAUAUUGCACAAUGGGCGAAAGCCUGAUGCAGCAACGCCGCGUGAGCGAUGAAGGCCUUCGGGUCGUAAAGCUCUGUCCUAAGGGAAGAAGUUUGACGGUACCUUAGGAGGAAGCCCCGGCUAACUACGUGCCAGCAGCCGCGGUAAUACGUAGGGGGCGAGCGUUAUCCGGAAUCACUGGGCGUAAAGGGUGCGUAGGCGGCCAAUAAAGUCUGGGGUGAAAGGCUACGGCUCAACUGUAGUAAGCCUUUGAAACUGUAGGGCUUGAGUGCAGGAGAGGAGAGUGGAAUUCCCAGUGUAGCGGUGAAAUGCGUGGAUAUUGGGAGGAACACCAGUUGCGAAGGCGACUCUCUGGACUGUAACUGACGCUGAGGCACGAAAGCGUGGGGAGCGAACAGGAUUAGAUACCCGAGUAGUC